GGGGGUUUAGCUCAGUGGUAGAGCGCUUGCCUAGCAAGCACAAGGCCCUGGGUUCGGUCCCCAGCUCCUA
rnacentral:tRNA from 1 species